GCCUCGGUAGCUCAGUGGGUAGAGCGCCGGCUUGAAGCGCCGGGCGUCGCAGGUUCGAGCCCUGCCUGAGGCA
rnacentral:tRNA from 1 species